CAGUAGCCGCGGUAAUACAGAGGUCCCGAGCGUUGUUCGGAUUCACUGGGCGUAAAGGGUGUGUAGGAGGUUUGGUAAGUCAGGUGUGAAAUCCCGCAGCUUAACUGCGGAACUGCAUUCGAUACUGCUGAACUAGAGGCUUGGAGGGGGAAGCGGAAUUCUUGGUGUAGCGGUGAAAUGCGUAGAUAUCAAGAGGAACACCAGUGGCGAAGGCGGCUUCCUGGACAAGUCCUGACUCUGAAACACGAAAGCUAGGGGAGCGAAUGGGAUUAGAUACCCCAGUAGUCCCUGUCUCUUAUAA
rnacentral:rRNA from 1 species